rnacentral:rRNA from 1 species
AUGCUGCAGCACCUAGAUCUCCAAGAUGACGAGCUUGAUGAUGUGGUCAUAGGGGAGGAAGAGGUAAAGAAGUAUGAAGCGGAUGCUAGGUGGCUGGCGAUCGCAAAGGUGAACACGACCCGCACUUUCAGUCCGUCGUUGAUGUUUGAGUGCAUGAAAUCAAUCUGGUCGCUAGCACAUGUCCCCGAGUACAGGGAGGCGGGCGAAAACCUGUUUAUCUUCCAGAUGUUCUGCCUGGGUGAUUGGAAGAAGGUGGUGCACGGAGGUCCAUGGCUCUUCAGGGGGAUGGGGAUGUUGAUUGAGGACUAUGAUGGCAAGAAGGAACCUACAUCUGUUGAUUUUGAUGGACUAUACGUGUGGGCUCAGAUUCACAAUAUACCUGAGUUGUACCGCAAGGCAGAGGUAGUUGACCAACUAGCCCGUCGCAUCGGGCGGGUGAAAGAAAUCCAGCUAGCUCCUAGGCUGUUCUAUGAGGGCGAC